ACGCGAAGAACCUUACCAAGGCUUGACAUGCACGGGAAGCCACCAGAGAUGGUGGUCUCUUUGGACACUCGUGCACAGGUGGUGCAUGGUUGUCGUCAGCUCGUGUCGUGAGAUGUUGGGUUAAGUCCCGCAACGAGCGCAACCCUCGUCCCAUGUUGCCAGCGGGUUAUGCCGGGGACUCAUGGGAGACUGCCGGGGUCAACUCGGAGGAAGGUGGGGAUGACGUCAAAUCAUCAUGCCCCUUAUGUCUUGGGCUUCACGCAUGCUACAAUGGCCGGUACAAAGGGCUGCGAUACCGUAAGGUGGAGCGAAUCCCAAAAAGCCGGUCUCAGUUCGGAUUGAGGUCUGCAACUCGACCUCAUGAAGUCGGAGUCGCUAGUAAUCGCAGAUCAGCAACGCUGCGGUGAAUACGUUCCCGGGCCUUGUACACACCGAAGGGC
rnacentral:rRNA from 1 species